UACGGGGGGGGCAAGCGUUGUCCGGAUUUAUUGGGCGUAAAGAGCUCGUAGGUGGUUCGGUAAGUCGGAUGUGAAAUCUCCAGGCUCAACCUGGAGGGGUCAUUCGAUACUGCCGUGACUAGAGGUCGGUAGGGGAGACUGGAAUUCCUGGUGUAGCGGUGGAAUGCGCAGAUAUCAGGAGGAACACCGGUGGCGAAGGCGGGUCUCUGGGCAGUAACUGACGCUGAGGAGCGAAAGCGUGGGGAGCGAACAGG
rnacentral:rRNA from 1 species